UGAAGUCUUGAAGCAAGAUUUUAUAUUAUGUAUUUCGUUUGUCCUGUGUCGUUUCGUUCGUUUGUUCGUUUCUUUGAUUGCAAUUGCAUUUAAUUUUGCGUUUGUCGUUGUGUUCGUAUACAAAUUACUUACAAAUGACGUCUCGGAAGUCAAGGUCUAUGUGGAAUCGGAGAAAGAUCUUCAACACACUACAAACACAUGAACAGUUGAACAUGCUGUUGCUGAAGAGAGAGAACUCAUUUCUUCAGCAAAAUAAAUGCCUUAUUCAUCAUUUGUCAAAGGGAUGAUGUUGAUUUGUGGAGGUUCAGAUGCCAAAAAAACAUUUGCCGCCAUAAACAAGUAUCCUGUUCUGUUGGGAACUGUGUGGUUGAGUUUGAAGAUUUGAGUUGAGUUAAUUAACACUCUAAAAUAUGUAUACAAAAUUAAAGUUGAUGUAAAGGGUAAUUUGGUCAUUUAUGAACUUUUUCAGUCAGAAAAUUUUGAUGGGUAAAAAUUAUGGCAAUUUCUAAGUCAAAUGAAUCAAAAAUUAAAUUAAUGUAUUAUUUUUUCAACACAUUGAGGAAGUGUUGACUUUUCUUCUCUUUGGUUUGUUUUGGCAGUAAAAACUAUUUUUUUGUUGUAUUCUAUUGGAAAAAAAUGUUUCGUUCAGUAAAAUUGUAGAAUAAUGUCAAAAAGUUUUGAGAUAAUUGUUUAAGUGUUUAAAAAAAGGUUGUUGAAGUAGGAAAAAAGUCAAAAGGACAAUUUGGACCUAGCUUAAAAAUUCAAAAAAUAAAAAUAUAGAUUGGAUCUCAAUUUUUACAAGGAUGUUCCACGUUGCUGUCUGUAGGCAUUUCCACAUUAUCUAAUUAUUUAUAUAUAAAGUAUCUAAUUAUUUACCUAUCUAUAAAGUAUCUACAAUGACGCAAUAUUCACCAUGCCAGACUGCUGAACUGGAGGCCCUGGGUUCAAUUCCUGGUUCGGUUGACAUUUGUGUGUUGAGCAUGCUUAUUGGCCGUGGUCUGGGUGUUAUAAUAUGUAUUGACUUUAGGUUGUAUAGGUCGAGUUUAAGGUUGGGUGGCUGGAUAAAAUCACUUUACGUAAGAGGACCAUUUUUAUGUUUCGAUUUUGGCCACCGCAACUGUCGUUCCACAAUGAUAGAUAUUCAACAUUAGGACGCAUUACUUUGUUUAUAAUUUUUUUCAAACAGGAACCAACUUCUUGGGCACCUCUGCCAGCUUGACCCUCAACCCAAACAAAACAAUAUCCUUUAUUUGUAGAAGACACAUGAACGCCGCAGUUAUAAAACCAGAGUUGUCUUUUAUAAAAUACCAUGUUUGUUGGAAUACGUGGUAAAGGCAACAUCUUCUCCAGGACAAAUGUUAAACACUCAAAUGUCUCAUCUACUUUUGCCCUUUCAAUCUGGAAAUUCAUUUGGCUUCGUAAGGACUCAGCUAAUUUUAAAUGCUUUUCUUUUUCUGAAAUCAAUUGGUUUCUGUCUUCUAUUGACAAAUCGUUCGGGACUUUUAGUUUUGCUGCAAAUGUGUCACAUCUAUUGCACGUGUCUUUUUUAAGACUUUUGAACCUUAAGUUAAAUUCUUUCAGGAAAAUCUUCCUGGAAAUGGCUAAUGAGUCUAAAUUCGUCAACAUAUAAAUCAUAUAUCUUUUGCAUAGUCAAUCCUGGUUGUAGAUAUAUGUAGUGCAUCACCAAUUUGAGAUCUUCUAUAGUGGGACUCAUAUUUUGGUGAUUUAUUUAUAACACUGGUCAACAGUGGUUUUUGUGCCGAAAAGCUGUAUUAUUUUUUUAAUUUAGGACCCUCUAGUAAUUACAUACAUAAAUAGCAAAAAUAUUGAUUUUCUACGUGUAGUUUUCUAGAUUUUUUUAUUAAACAGAAAAAAAACAUAAUUACACCAAAAACAACAUAAUUAUAUUAAAUUCUUAUGUACACAAAAACUUCCUUUUACGCUAUUUUCGUGAAUGAGGAGUAGCAGGACAAUCACGUUGCAUCCCCGCAAUGCAGGACAAUCAGCAGUAGUCAGCCAUCAUAUUAUUAUGCUGAUCCCAUCGGCCUUUGUACCUCUCUUCCAUAGUUUUUAGGUCCUGAUGAAACCGCUCCCCUUGUUCUUCGCUAUAGGAACCAAGAUUCUCUGGAAACUGGUCAAGGUGACUGUGGAGAUAAUGCACUUUGACGGACAUGUUACAUCCUAAGUUUUUGAAAUUCUCUAGCAUGUUGUUAACAAUUUCAGAGUAGUUAUAGGCACGAAUCUUGAGCUCUGACCUACAUCUGCGCAGAAGUGACUUCAUAAAAUUUAUGAAUCUCGUGUAUAAUAGUUGUAAAUCGUAUUUUAGACUGCUUAUUUCGAUGUUUAAUAUGUUUGUCUUUUCUUAAUCUGUGUAUUUUUACUCUAUAUCUAUUAUUAAUACUUUGACGCCUCUGAAUUUUCUGUUCAUACAACUUUAGCUUGCUUUUAAGAUGCAUCGUUAAUUUCCUAACUUGAAUAAUCGGCUAGUCAUUUGAGAGUCUUGAUUAUCAUUCAAAUGUAGCAGUGGAUCUUUGUCUUGAAUGCUUGUGUUACCCUCAUCUUCUUGCUCUAUAUACUUCUUGGAUCGCAGAGUUUUCUUGUUUCUUACUUCUACUAUUUCUCUUGUUAAUUCUCCAUUGUUUUCUUUUCGCUCUCUUUUCUCUUUCAGUCAUUUCUGAAAUGUUUUUCAGUUUUUUUGGUUUCUCUUCGCUUUUAAUAACGCGCUUUUUCUUUAUUAAAUAACUCAUAUCGUUUCGGUUUACUAACCCUCUUUCUUUCCUUGCUAAUUGACGAACUCACUUUCGGCAUUUUUGUGUUGACUGUAAACAAACAGGCAAAUAUAUUAUAUAUAAAUAAAAGGAACAUGGACCGUAGGACAAAGAUAAGGAAAAUUAAAAGUAUCUUUGACAUCGACACACAAACGAAUACCACGGAUAGGGUACUAGUACAUGAUUCUGGACCCCCCAGUGAUGGAAUAUUUCGUCGGCCUUUCAGUCAUCGUACAUGUAACAUUUUGAUUUUGAAUCACAAACUAAUUCCUUAUUGCUCUUAAGCAAACCAAACGAGUGUAAAUUGUCUAUUAAGAAUUGCAUAUUCGAGUGUUUUGUGCACGCACAACUCUCACAGUCUUUGAUAUUAGGAGGUAACACGUACAAGGGGCGGUAUUUUUUGAAGGUACUGAAACUUACUGUUCCUACUUCUUCAACAUAUUUUUUAUGUAAGUUCUUUAGUUUAUCUAACAAAUAUCUCUUAUGCAUGCGGUUAUAAAUCUACUGCGUUACGUAGCACAUACUUUUGUGUUACAAUAAUACAAAUAUAAACACAAAAGUGACACAAUAUAUUUGUGUCACAGGCGUAUCACAAAUGCAACACAAAAACUACAUUUUACAACCAUUUUAGGUUAUAUUUCGAUAAUUUAUUACAAUUAGACACUAAUGGGUGAUCUUAAGUAUACUUUGGGCCUCGUCGCCAACAAAUAUUAUACUCUAACAUUAAAAUAUCAGGGUAAGGCCGCGAAAAUUAGCACAAAAUAACACAAAUGUAACACGGCGUUUCUCUUGUUGACUCUCAAUCUUUUUUACAAAUCUUCUGAAUGCUCUUUGCAAAGCUGUAAUUUUUUUUUCUAGUCGUAAAUUUUCAUUUUUUUUUUAAUUCUGUUCUAUUUUACGUUGAACUCUGAGCAAAGCAGCAUCCGAAAUUGUUCCUUCAUCGGGUUUUACUAACACAUUUAAUUCCUGCGUCAAAGUCUGUGGAGAUCUUUUCUUUUUUUCGUCUUCUUUCCAUUUUAUUUUUAACUCAUUUUUUGUUCUUCUGUUAAAUUAGCCGUCCGAUUUCUAUAAUUUCUUUGUGUUCUCACAUUGUUCUGUUUUUUUUUGGAGCUCAAAGUUUUCAGGAUUUGUUUCCUCCAACCUCUUUCUAUUUUCAAAAUCGAAAUCAAAUUGUUUUUAUUUCAAAUAGGCCUUUGCAGGCUCUUAUGAAACGUCAAAUUAAUUGCACGGUUCCAAAAAGUUGCUCUCAUGGAGAAGAGCCGGCAAGAAAAGUUUGUUACUUUCAAUGUAUUUGGUUAAUAUAAUAGUUGUUUCAUUUGAAGAUAGGCCGAAACCAUAUUUCUCCAUAGUAUAUAGGCCAGCAGCUAGUCUUUUUUCAUUUUCGGCAUCGAUUUCUGUUGGCCUACCACGUGUGUCUUUAACAACUCCUCGUCUUUGUUUUAGUCGAUCUACUAUAGUUGUACGCGGUAUCCCAUAUUUUCGUGAUGCUUGAUACGAAUUGAGGACUCCGUUCUUUACUUCUAAUACUGCUGUUUUUAAUGUUUCUAGAGUGUAUUUAGGAA